rnacentral:rRNA from 1 species
AGCCCACCAGCUAGCCUAAACAAUCAAAAUCAACAAUUAAAUAUUUAUAAACCCUCACACAGUCUCAAGACUUAACAGAACAUUUUUCCUCUUUAGUAUAGGAGAUAGAAAAAGACAUUUGAGCCAUAGAAAAAGUACCGCAAGGGAAAGCUGAAAGAGAAAUGAAACAAACCAGUAAAGCAAAAAAUAGCAGAGAUUACCCCUCGUACCUUUUGCAUCAUGAUUUAGCUAGUAUCCACUAAGCAAAAAGAAUUAUAGUUUAGCCCCCCGAAACUAGGUGAGCUACUCCAAGACAGCCUAUCAUUAGGGCACACCCGUCUCUGUGGCAAAAGAGUGGGAAGAGCUUUGAGUAGAGGUGAUAGACCUACCGAACCUGGUUAUAGCUGGUUGCCUGAGAACUGGAUAGAAGUUCAGCCUCUUGUAAUUCUUAAAUCAACUUUGCACCCUGAACGAUUACAAGAAUGCAAGAGAGUUAGCUAAAGGAGGUACAGCUCCUUUAUCACAAGAUACAACUUUCCUAGGAGGGUAAAGAUCACAUUAACCAAGGGGCCUAUGUUUCGGUGGGCCUAAAAGCAGCCAUCCAAUCAGAAAGCGUUAAAGCUCGGACAUAACUUUUCCUCUAAAUAUUGAUAAAACCUCUAAUCCCCCUUCCAUUAACAGGCCCUCCCAUGCCUUCAUGGGACUGAUUAUGCUAAUAUGAGUAAUAAGAAAGAAAGACUUUCUCCAAGCAUAAGUGUACAUCGGAACGAACCAACACCGACCAUUAAAGGACCCAACCAAAGAGGGAAAUGAACACGUAUAACAAUAAACAAGAAAAACACUCAAAACUAACCUUUAACCCCACACUGGAAUGCUUAUAAGGAAAAACUAAAAGAGGGAGAAGGAACUCGGCAAACACAAGCCUCGCCUGUUUACCAAAAACAUCGCCUCUUGAUAACUUUAUAUAAGAGGUCCCGCCUGCCCAGUGACUCUUAGUUUAACGGCCGCGGUAUCUUAACCGUGCGAAGGUAGCGUAAUCACUUGUCUCUUAAAUGGGGACCUGUAUGAAUGGCAUAACGAGGGCUUAGCUGUCUCCUCCCUCAUGUUAAUGAAAUUGACCUCCCCGUGCAGAGGCGGGGAUUAACUCAUAAGACGAGAAGACCCUAUGGAGCUUUAGGCACAAAACUGCUCAUGUUCAGGAAACUCCCCCUAAAGAGAGUUAACUUUGUGAGGACAGCUUCAGCGCCUUUGGUUGGGGUGACCGCGGGGAAAUAACCAACCCCCAUGUGGACAGGGCCUUCUAGGCCUAAAAACAAGAGUGACUACUCUAACUAACAGAACUUCUGACCUUACUGAUCCGGCUUUGGCCGAUCAACGAACCCAGUUACCCUAGGGAUAACAGCGCAAUCCUCUUACAGAGCCCAUAUCGACAAGAGGGUUUACGACCUCGAUGUUGGAUCAGGAUGUCCUAAUGGUGCAGCCGCUAUUAAGGGUUCGUUUGUUCAACGAUUAAAAUCCUACGUGAUCUGAGUUCAGACCGGAGUAAUCCAGGUCGGUUUCUAUCUAUGACGUGAUUUAUUUUAGUACGAAAGGACCAAAGAAAUAGGGCCCCUGUUGAAGACAAACCCUAUCCUCACUUACUGCCCUAUAAUUAAGUAAAUAAGAGGAAACACCCUUCAAGCCGUAAACCUUGGCU